UACAGAGGUCUCAAGCGUUGUUCGGAUUCAUUGGGCGUAAAGGGUGCGUAGGCGGCGCGGUAAGUCGGGUGUGAAAUCUUCGGAGCUUAACUCCGAAACUGCAUUCGAUACUGCCGUGCUUGAGGACUGGAGAGGAGACUGGAAUUACGGUGUAGCUGGUGAAAUGCGUAGAUAUCGUAAGGAAGACCAGUGGCGAAGGCGGGUCUCUGGACAGUUCCUGACGCUGAGGCACGAAGGUCAGGGGAGCAAACGGGAUUAGAACCGUACCGUGU
rnacentral:rRNA from 1 species